rnacentral:rRNA from 1 species
UUCCGGUUGAUCCUGCCGGACCUGACUGCUAUCGGAUUGAUACUAAGCCAUGCGAGUCAUUGUAGCAAUACAAGGCAGACGGCUCAGUAACGCGUAGUCAACCUACCCUAUGGACGGGAAUAACCUCGGGAAACUGAGUAUAAUGCCCGAUAGAACACUAUACCUGGAAUGGUUUGUGUUCCAAAUGAUUUAUUGCCGUAGGAUGGGACUGCGGCCUAUCAGUUUGUUGGUGAGGUAAUGGCCCACCAAGACUAUUACAGGUACGGGCUCUGAGAGGAGUGGCCCGGAGAUGGGUACUGAGACACGGACCCAGGCCCUAUGGGGCGCAGCAGGCGAGAAAACUUUGCAAUGUGCGAAAGCACGACAAGGUUAAUCCGAGUGGUUUCUGCUAAAGGAACCUUUUGACAGUCCUAGAAACACUGUUGAAUAAGGGGUGGGCAAGUUCUGGUGUCAGCCGCCGCGGUAAAACCAGCACCUCAAGUGGUCAGGAUGAUUAUUGGGCCUAAAGCAUCCGUAGCCGGCUCUGUAAGUUUUCGGUUAAAUCUGUACGCUCAACGUACAGGCUGCUGGGAAUACUGCAGGGCUAGGGAGUGGGAGAGGUAGACGGUACUCG